UCCCUUUCCCCUUUGGGCUUUUCUUUUCUGCCUCCUCUGAGGCAGCAGCAAGGUGGUAAGGGGCCUUGCCCAGGCAUGCAGUGCCUGGGCUGUGGGUCUUCCCUUAAUAGCUCUGGCCUCCUGAAAUCCUGCCUUUGGUUCUUCUCUUCAUAACCCAAUCUUACAAUAUAUGAAAGCAAUUAGUUUGCUUUAAUUUUUUUCUCCUAUGCACUGGUCCUAGUUUUGUUUUGUUCACCACAGGAGGCUCUUUUACUUUCAGACUUACCUUACCCAUUGGCCUACAGUCAAGACCAGUGGACCAACUCCAUCUUGGUGCUCAGUGUUGCCUAUUCUGACUCACUGACUGCGGGUCUCCAGGAUUUCGAGCAGGGGCUUUUCUCAGCUUUACCUGGAAAUGUCAGGAACUGAACCUGUGACCUUCUGCAUGCAGGGUAUGUGAACCUUCAC